rnacentral:lncRNA from 1 species
CAAUCUACCUUUAUAUUUUUUUUGUGUGUUUUUUCUUAGAAAAAUUGUUGUAUGUAGUGUGGUGGUUUCCUAAUUCAAUACCUAGAUUUGCUUUUCUAGACCGACAAAGAUGACUUGUGAUCACUAUGGAGAUAGUCUCUGAAGGUACAAAUGGAUUGCCAAAAAGUGAGCCCUUCCUCCUUGGUGGACAUCUUCGAGCUGUGCAAGUUACCCUUGAUCCAGAUGGAGAUGUUUUAGUUUGGAUGCUCCUCCAUUUUCAC